rnacentral:rRNA from 1 species
GGUGAACGCUGGCGGCGUGCUUAAGACAUGCAAGUCGAACGCAGUCUUCGGACUGAGUGGCGCACGGGUGAGUAACACGUAACUGACCUACCCCCAAGUCGCGAAUAACCAGCCGAAAGGAUGGCUAAUACGUGAUGUGAUGAUCCGCUGUGGCGGAUCAUUAAAGACUUGAUCGCUUGGGGAUGGGGUUGCGCUCCAUCAGCUAGUUGGUAAGGUAAAGGCUUACCAAGGCAACGACGGAGAGCCGGCCUGAGAGGGUGGCCGGCCACAGGGGCACGGAGACACAGGUCCCACUCAUACGGGAGGCAGCAGUUAGGAAUCUUCCACAAUGGGCGCAAGCCUGAUGGAGCGACGCCGCGUGAGGGAUGAAGGUUCUCGGAUCGUAAACCUCUGAACCAACGACGAAAGACCCGACAAGGGAGAUGACGGUAGUUGGGUAAUAGCACCGGCUAACUCCGUGCCAGCCGCCGCGGUAAGAC